CCUACGGGUGGCUGCAGUGGGGAAUAUUGGGCAAUGGGCGCAAGCCUGACCCAGCAACGCCGCGUGAAGGAAGAAGGCUUUCGGGUUGUAAACUCCUUUUAAGGGGGAAGAGCAGAAGACGGUACCCCUUGAAUAAGCCACGUCUAACUACGGGCCAGCAGCCGCGGUAAUACGUAGGUGGCAAGCGUUGUCCGGAUUUACUGGGUGAAAAGGGCGUGCAGCCGGGGAGACAAGUCAGAUGUGAAACCCACGGGCUCAACCCGUGAACUGCAUUUGAAACUGUUUCCCUUGAGUGUCGGAGAGGUAAUCGGAAUUCCUUGUGUAGCGGUGAAAUGCGUAGAUAUAAAGAAGAACACCAGUGGCGAAGGCGAAUUACUGGACGAUAACUGACGGUGAGGCGCGAAAGCGUGGGGAGCAAACAGGAUUAGAUACCCCGGUAGUC
rnacentral:rRNA from 1 species